UGGCUCAGGAUGAACGCUGGCGGCGUGCUUAACACAUGCAAGUCGAGCGAAGCGUAUUAGCGGAAGUUUUCGGAUGGAAGCGGAUAUGACUUAGCGGCGGACGGGUGAGUAACGCGUGGAUAACCUGCCUCAUACAGGGGGAUAACAGUUAGAAAUGACUGCUAAUACCGCAUAAGCGCACAGGACCGCAUGGUCUGGUGUGAAAAACUCCGGUGGUAUGGGAUGGAUCCGCGUCUGAUUAGCUGGUUGGUGAGGUAACGGCCCACCAAGGCGACGAUCAGUAGCCGACCUGAGAGGGUGGCCGGCCACAUUGGGACUGAGACACGGCCCAAACUCCUACGGGAGGCAGCAGUGGGGAAUAUUGCACAAUGGGGGAAACCCUGAUGCAGCAACGCCGCGUGAGUGAAGAAGUAUUUCGGUAUGUAAAGCUCUAUCAGCGGGGAAGAAGAAAGACGGUACCUGACUAAGAAGCCCCGGCUAACUACGUGCCAGCAGCCGCGGUAAUACGUAGGGGGCAAGCGUUAUCCGGAUUUACUGGGUGUAAAGGGAGCGUAGACGGCUGUGCAAGUCUGAAGUGAAAGCCCGUGGCUCAACCGCGGAACUGCUUUGGAAACUGUAUAGCUUGAGUACUGGAGAGGCAGGCGGAAUUCCUAGUGUAGCGGUGAAAUGCGUAGAUAUUAGGAGGAACACCAGUGGCGAAGGCGGCCUGCUGGACAGAAACUGACGUUGAGGCUCGAAAGCGUGGCGAGCAAACAGGAUUAGAUACCUUGGUAGUCCACGCGGUAAACGAUGAAUGCUAGGUGCUGGUGAGCAAAGCUGUUCGGUGCCGUCGCAAACGCAGUAAGCAUUCCACCUGGGGAGUACGUUCGCAAGAAUGAAACUCAAAGGAAUUGACGGGGACCCGCACAAGCGGUGGAGCAUGUGGUUUAAUUCGAAGCAACGCGAAGAACCUUACCAAGUCUUGACAUCCUCCUGAAUGAUGGGUAAAGCCGUCAGGCUCUUCGGGACAGGAGAGACAGGUGGUGCAUGGUUGUCGUCAGCUCGUGUCGUGAGAUGUUGGGUUAAGUCCUGCAACGAGCGCAACCUUUAUCCUCAGUAGCCAGCGGCCAGGCCGGGCACUCUGUGGAGACUGCCAGGGAGAACCUGGAGGAAGGUGGGGAUGACGUCAAAUCAUCAUGCCCCUUAUGAUUUGGGCUACACACGUGCUACAAUGGCGUAAACAAAGGGAAGCGAAGUGGCGACACGGAGCGAACCCAAAAAUAACGUCUCAGUUCGGAUUGUAGUCUGCAACUCGACUACAUGAAGCUGGAAUCGCUAGUAAUCGCGGAUCAGAAUGCCGCGGUGAAUACGUUCCCGGGUCUUGUACACACCGCCCGUCACACCAUGGGAGUCAGUAACGCCCGAAGUCAGUGACCUAACCUUAGGGAGGGAGCUGCCGAAGGCGGGACGGAUAACUGGGGUGAAGUCGUAACAAGGU
rnacentral:rRNA from 1 species